rnacentral:rRNA from 1 species
GAUGAACGCUAGCGGCAGGCUUAAUACAUGCAAGUCGAGGGGCAGCGGGAGUAGCAAUACUUGCCGGCGACCGGCGCACGGGUGCGUAACACGUAUGUAAUCUGCCCAUCACAGGGGGAUAGCCCAGAGAAAUUUGGAUUAAUACCCCAUGGUAUAAUUGGAUGGCAUCAUUUGAUUAUUAAAGUUCCAACGGUAAAAGAUGGGCAUGCGUCCUAUUAGCUAGAUGGUAAGGUAACGGCUUACCAUGGCUACGAUAGGUAGGGGUCCUGAGAGGGAGAUCCCCCACACUGGUACUGAGACGCGGACCAGACUCCUACGGGAGGCAGCAGUGAGGAAUAUUGGACAAUGGGCGCAAGCCUGAUCCAGCCAUGCCGCGUGCAGGAAGAAGCAUUUAUGGUGUGUAAACUGCUUUUGUACGGGAAGAAACACUCGUUCGUGAACGAGCUUGACGGUACCGUAAGAAUAAGGAUCGGCUAACUCCGUGCCAGCCGCCGCAGUAA